UUACCCCUGCAGCUGACAUCAUUGGCUGUUCAGUUCUUUGUAGACAACGAGACAUGCUUUGCAUGUGACUCUGACUGAGAGGAAUGAUGUCAUUAUUUAAGCGGAAAGGUCACAGUUCGGCAGAAAGACGUGUUCAGAUCUGCUCUUGUGAGCCGGAAUAAUCACUCAUUACUGUAAUCACUCAUUAGACAGGUUACAUGGAGCUUUGUUUUGCAGUCUCCGUCUUUGUAAGAGGAAGUUACAGUGGCACGCAAUGCGGAAUGGCAAUAGGGUACUAAAGGGCAUACUAAAUGAGAUGACUACUACAGCUACAUCAAGAUUUGGAUGCAGCUACAUCAGUGGAAUAUUUGGCUGGUGAAAAUAACUUUGUCUGUUUGGCCCUAGGCGAGAGUUUUGACGGGGGAGAAGUUGCAGAAACACAUUCCCGGAAGAAGACACUCACAAGUACAUCAAUGCUUACACGCACACAAAAACACUCACCUACUUCAUCACUAGCCUACGUCAAUUUGGGGAAAUUUGAUUUGGUAAUAUGAGGGUGUUGUGUGUUUUCAUUGUCUGUCUCCUUCACUUUUCUGUUAUCUCUGUGUGUCUAUGUGAGUGACAGUGAGUAACCCGUGACACGUGUCUGUCUAGGACAAGACAAAUGCAGCAUUUAGUUUGUUGCUGUGUCAGUGAGCAAUCACGUGUCUACCUGGGCUCAUGCACAAUGGGCUAUAGCAUGUGUUCCCAGCUGAUAGACAUGUGGAGUGUGUCAGAGCGACAUUUGACCUGCAGGGCGAUGGAGCUUACUACACUGCCUGAAGCAGCCCGGGGAGGGUACCAUCGGGCUACGGGUUUCCACUAUAUGUCCUCGUUCUCGGAUGCUGAAGACUGCUGCGAUGACA